rnacentral:lncRNA from 1 species
UGCUGGGAUUACAAACGUGAGCCACCGCACCAGGCCAGAAUUAUCUACUUUGAUGCCAUUAUUUUACAGAGUAGACACUAAGGCUUAGAAAAGCUGAGCAACUUGUUAAAUUCUACUCAGUUCUAAUGCGAGAUAUAUGCAGUUCCCUGUUCUGGCCUGUUCCUGCCUAUUGUUCCAUGUUUUAAUAGAGGGAUCAGGAGAUGGGGGAGAUAGAAGUUAAAUCACAUUCUUUAAUACUUUUUGACACAGAAGCAACAUAAUGGUACCAUGUGAUAUCCACUCUCAUUUUGCAAAACAGGAAAUUGAGAAAGAGAAAUGGAGUUAGGCAUUUAGAGAGAGUUUUACGCUCUUAAGCCAUUGGAUGGGAAACCUGAUUUCUGGUAGGAGAGCUAUGCUGUAAAAGGUGUCUGAACACAAGACUAAGCUGGAAUCUUACCCUGAGAUAUGGCAAUCCAUUUUUCAGUUCAAGAUGAAUCCUCCCACUUCAAAUACUCAGACGAAACCUCUCAAGUCAAUAUUGCCCUGCAGACAUCUUGUGCCUAUGCAUAAGAGCUAAGUGAUUUCUUUCUCUGGAGCUAGGUUUCUGCUCAAAUCCAGGUUUUUUUUCCAAGUGAAACAACCACAGGGAGCCUUUCCUGCCUGGUCCAACUGGUGAAACAGAGCCAAAAAUGUUUGUGAUUCUAUUUAUAGCUGUCUAGUGGUUGAACAGACUGGGCUGAGAAUUCCUGGGGUGAAGUAUUUGGUGCCUGAAGUCUGGAAUGCCAGUUUUACACAGCUUGUUUUUAGAUGCAAGGAUUUCCAUAAAAACAAGGCCAGGCACAUAGAACUUUUUCAGGAGCAAAGGGCAAGAAAAUGUUUUUAAAAAGGGGAAUAAUCCUAGCAAAAUAGUUUUAUAGAUUUUUUUUUGGAAAGCCAUGCCAUUUUCUCCCCUCCUUAUUACUAGUUGGUAAUGUGCAAAACAAUGCUAUCUCAAAAAUAAGAAAAUAGUGAAAGAGAACAUAUGCCCCUGUUGUGGGUUAAAUAGGGACUCCCAGAGGAUAUGUCCUUUCAGGACCUCAGAUGUAAUUAAAGUAGGGAUCUUGAGGUGAGAUCAUCCUGGAGGAGGGUGGGCCCUAAAUCCAAAGAUUAACGUGUUUAUGAAAGACUGAGACAAAGAGAAGAAGGCCCUGUAAAGCUGAGCACAGAUUGGAGUUUUGUAGCUGUGAGCCAAGGAAAGCCAGGAGAAGCAAGGAAGGAUGAGUCUCUAGAGCCUGCAGAGGGAGCACAGCCCUGCCAACACCUGGAUUUCUGAAGUCUGCCCUACAAACUGUGAUGAGAGAUCUUUUUAAAGGCAAAGACAGCAAUUUCCUGGGGAUCUAUGAGUACACUGUUCAACUACAGUACAGGAUAUGUGAGCUAAGUCAAGAGGAUUGGAGGGAAUGUGUACAAUAUACUACCAGA